rnacentral:rRNA from 1 species
UACGGGGGGAGCAAGCGUUGUUCGGAUUUACUGGGCGUAAAGGGCGCGUAGGCGGCCAGCACAAGUCAGUUGUGAAAUCUCCGGGCUUAACUCGGAAAGGUCAACUGAUACUGUGCGGCUAGAGUGCAGAAGGGGCAACUGGAAUUCUCGGUGUAGCGGUGAAAUGCGUAGAUAUCGAGAGGAACACCUGCGGCGAAGGCGGGUUGCUGGGCUGACACUGACGCUGAGCCGCGAAAGCCAGGGGAGCGAACGGG